rnacentral:piRNA from 1 species
UGGAACAUGUGACCGUUGACACUUCUGC